GGACUUAGUGGCGGACGGGUGAGUAACACGUGGGAACGUGCCUUUAGGUUCGGAAUAACUCAGGGAAACUUGUGCUAAUACCGAAUGUGCCCUUCGGGGGAAAGAUUUAUCGCCUUUAGAGCGGCCCGCGUCUGAUUAGCUAGUUGGUGAGGUAAAGGCUCACCAAGGCGACGAUCAGUAGCUGGUCUGAGAGGAUGAUCAGCCACAUUGGGACUGAGACACGGCCCAAACUCCUACGGGAGGCAGCAGUGGGGAAUCUUGCGCAAUGGGCGAAAGCCUGACGCAGCCAUGCCGCGUGAAUGAUGAAGGUCUUAGGAUUGUAAAAUUCUUUCACCGGGGACGAUAAUGACGGUACCCGGAGAAGAAGCCCCGGCUAACUUCGUGCCAGCAGCCGCGGUAAUACGAAGGGGGCUAGCGUUGCUCGGAAUUACUGGGCGUAAAGGGAGCGUAGGCGGACAUUUAAGUCAGGGGUGAAAUCCCGGGGCUCAACCUCGGAAUUGCCUUUGAUACUGGGUGUCUUGAGUGUGAGAGAGGUAUGUGGAACUCCGAGUGUAGAGGUGAAAUUCGUAGAUAUUCGGAAGAACACCAGUGGCGAAGGCGACAUACUGGCUCAUUACUGACGCUGAGGCUCGAAAGCGUGGGGAGCAAACAGGAUUAGAUACCCUGGUAGUCCACGCCGUAAACGAUGAUUGCUAGUUGUCGGGAUGCAUGCAUUUCGGUGACGCAGCUA
rnacentral:rRNA from 3 species